rnacentral:SRP_RNA from 1 species
GCCGGGUGCGGUGGCUCACACCUGUAAUCCCAGCCCUUUGGGAGGCCGAGGCAGGUGGAUCGCCUGAGGUCAGGAGUUCGAGACCAGCCUGGCCAACAUGGUGAAACCCUGUCUCUA